AGUUGGGAAAUGGACUGAGAUGGGACGUGACAUCUGCCAACAUGAGUGUUGAGAUGUGGGGCAUCCCUUGCUCCAAAAAAAAACAGGACGGCAUCAUCCCUUGGUAUUUGAAACCUGGAAACCAGGGAAGGAUACUAAGUAGUGAUAAUAUUUAGUAAAUCUUCUUUUGUCUUAUUUUGCCUCAGAGCAAAAGAAUUAUAAUGACAAACAACAUGAAUUUCUUCUGUGGACCGGAUGGACUGCUUGAUCUAAUCUGUUACAAUUUUCAUUCAGAUAUGUUUGUAAGAAUUGAGCAAGCUCGCUUUGGUUUUCUCUUUAUAUCCUUGCCUGACAAUCAUGUUCUGUAAAGGUGCUCUCAGUCUGACUCAAGCCGAUUUGAUUAAUGCACAGUGUAAAGAGCAUUCUUCUAUGGAAUCUAUCCCUAAUUUUGAUAUAUGUGGCCUCUUAUCUUUCAAGUAUUCAACUUUCCUUCUGAAGUCUCUCUCUCUAUCUCUCUCUCCCCCUC
rnacentral:lncRNA from 1 species